rnacentral:lncRNA from 1 species
UGAAUAAGUCACUUUGCAGGAGAGGAUAGUUUCUUCUGAGCAAGGAAUUCUGUUUGUGUUACCUGUUAUGCCACAGGCACACUUCUGCCUGGGUUCAGGGGCCCACAUGUGCACAUCAAGAAGGUGCAGCCUCUUGAGAGCAGUAGCUUCCAGAUCUGGAUAUGUUCCUGUAACCCAUGGAGAGUUCAGCCCCUUGUCAUGGCUCUGCUGUUUCAACAAUCCUAAAAGGGAUUACAUUGGCUGGAUCCCAG